rnacentral:pre_miRNA from 1 species
AUACAGAUCACCUGGGAUCUUGUUAAAAUGCAGAUUCAGAUUCCACGGACAUGGGGUAGGGCCUAAGAGUCUCCAUUUCUAACAAGCUCCCAAGUGACACGUGU